rnacentral:rRNA from 1 species
ACAGUUUGAUGAUGGCUCAGAUUGAACGCUGGCGGCAUGCUUAAUACAUGCAAGUCGAACGGUAACAGAUUCUUCGGAAUGCUGACGAGUGGCGGACGGGUGAGUAAUACAUAGGAAUCUGCCCAUGUAGUGGGGGACAACUUGGGGAAACUCAAGCUAAUACCGCAUAAUUCCUACGGGAUAAAGAGGGCCACUGCUUGCAAGCUCUUGCUACUGGAUGAGCCUAUGUCGGAUUAGUUAGUUGGUAAGGUAAUGGCUUACCAAGACAGCGAUCCGUAGCUGGUUUGAGAGGAUGAUCAGCCACACUGGGACUGAGACACGGCCCAGACUCCUACGGGAGGCAGCAGUAGGGAGUAUUGGACAAUGGGCGCAAGCCUGAUCCAGCAAUGCCGCGUGUGUGAAGAAGGCCUGCGGGUUGUAAAGCACUUUCAAUUGGGAAGAAAGAUUAUGAGUUAAUACCUUAUAAUAUUGACGUUACCAAUACAAGAAGCACCGGCUAACUCUGUGCCAGCAGCCGCGGUAAUACAGAGGGUGCGAGCGUUAAUCGGAAUUACUGGGCGUAAAGAGUACGUAGGUGGUUAAAUCAGUCGGAUGUGAAAGCCCCAGGCUUAA